rnacentral:rRNA from 1 species
GAUGAACGCUAGCUACAGGCCUAACACAUGCAAGUCGAGGGACGGGCGCAUGGGUGAGUAAAACGUAUCCGACCUUCCCUGUACUCGUGGGGAGCCGGGCGAAAGAAAGGUUAAUACCCGAUGUACAGGAUGGGGAUGGGUUCCAUUAGGUUGUUGGUGAGGUAAAGGCGAACCAAGACAUCGAUGCAUAGGGGUUAUGAGAGGAAGGCCCCCCGCAGUGGAACUGAGACACGGUCCAAACUCAUACGCGGUGCAGCAGUGUGGAAGACUGGUCAAUGGGCGUUAGUCUGAACCAGCCAAGUAGCGUGAAGAAGGAAUGCUUAUGGGUCGUAAACUUCUUUUAUAUAAGAAUAUGUAUUAUAUGAAUAAGGAUCGGCUAACUCCGUGCCAGCAGCCGCGGUAAUUC